rnacentral:lncRNA from 1 species
AUUUCACUAAGCCUUCUUUUGCAAAAUAAGAAGGAUUGAGGUAAUUAGUAUUAAGUAAAUAACAGAUGACAUUGACAAACAAAAAAUAGAUGUAACAUUUCUAAAUUGUAAACGUGAGAUUCCGUAAAAGGUAUAAAAUAUAUUUUUCACUUAAAUGGAAUUGAUGAUUUUUCAGAUAAGCGUGAAUUGUUGUAAGAGAUAAAAUGCAGCUUACUGCUCGAAACCUGUAUUUAUACCCUUGUAAAUCACCAUAAGUGGCUGUUCUUUCCAUUUACUUCCAUGUAUUUAUACAUAUAAACUUUUUCUUUCAUGUUUUUCCAAUUUUCUGCCUGUUUAGUUUGUUUCUAUACUAUUUAAUACAUUUUAAUUUGUUUGAGAUUUAUAGUAAAUAAAUACAAUUUGCAUAUUUUAUUGGCAUGCUAUCAGGGGUGCAGACUGUACUCCUAUAUGGAGCCUUCUCAAGGAGGGGAACCAGUUACGUCACAAUAAGCUGUCUAACAUAUUUAAAAGCUGGACGGUGGACGGUGACCCUUUACCUGACAGCAUUAUUGGAUCCAUUGCACUCCAGUGGCAGGGCUGGGGUGAUAUUAUGACAGAUCCCUUCUUCCUAGCGCACAGUAAAUCACUCAGGUGUGCAAGAAGAGCCGUUUAGAGCAUCUUUCAGCCUUCCACCUCCACUAGACCCAAGGGAAGCCAAUCCGAUGUAGCAAAUACAGGAUAGGAAAAGGAGGAUGGCUAAAACAUUUAUCAUAUAUGUAUUGACUUGUGUGAGCAUUUUGGUAUCAUUGUGUGUGUGUGUGUAGUUGUGUAUAUCUGUGUGUAUCUGUAUCUGUCAGUGUUAGUAUGGGUCAGAGAGUUGUGAGUGUCAGACAAAUUGUAUGUAUUUGGUAUGUGUGUAUUUUGGAUAGAGUUUGUGUCUAGCUGUGUGUUUCUAUCUGUUUCCUGUACCCGGUCGGACUGACAGGAAGGUGCACACUCAGUGUGCACCUUCCUAUCNNNNNNNNNNNNNNNNNNNNNNNNNNNNNNNNNNNNNNNNNNNNNNNNNNNNNNNNNNNNNNNNNNNNNNNNNNNNNNNNNNNNNNNNNNNNNNNNNNNNGGCUGCAGUAUUUAAAGGGCCGGCCCGCCGCGGCUGGCCUUACAGGAAUUUAGGGCGGCCUGGGGGGCAAUUGCCUCCCUGCCCCCCGGCCCAGCCCGCCCCUGUUCUCAAGGAGGGGAACCAGUUAGGUCACAAUAAGCUGUCUAACAUAUUUAAAAGCUGGACGGUGGAUGGUGACCCUUUACCUGACAGCAUUAUUGGAUCCAUUGCACUCCAGUGGCAGGGCUGGGGUGAUAUUAUGACAGAUCCCUUCUUCCUAGCGCACAGUAAAUCACUCAGGUGUGCAAGAAGAGCCGUUUAGAGCAUCUUUCAGCCUUCCACCUCCACUAGACCCAAGGGAAGCCAAUCCGAUGUAGCAAAUACAGGAUGGGAAAAGGAGGAUGGCUAAAACAUUUAUCAUAUAUGUAUUGACUUGUGUGAGCAUUUUGGUAUCAUUGUGUGUGUGUGUGUAGUUGUGUAUAUCUGUGUGUAUCUGUAUCUGUCAGUGUUAGUAUGGGUCAGAGAGUUGUGAGUGUCAGACAAAUUGUAUGUAUUUGGUAUGUGUGUAUUUUGGAUAGAGUUUGUGUCUAGCUGUGUGUUUCUAUCUGUUUGUGUGUAUGAAUAUGUGUAUGUAUAUAAAUAUGUAUGUGUGAUUAGUUGUUUGUAUCUGUAAAUGCAACUUGCUGUGUGUAUCUGCAUCAGUAACUAGCUGUGUGUAUCUGUGUAUGAGACUAGCUGUGUGUAUCUGUGUAUGAGACUAGCUGUGUGUAUCUGCGUCAGUAACUAGCUGUGUGUAUCUGCGUCAGUAAUUAGCUGUGUAUUUCUGUGUAUGUGACUAGCAGUGUGUAUCUGUGUAUGCGACUAGCUGUGUGUAUCUGUGUAUGUGACUAGCUGUGUGUAUUUGAUUAUGAAAUUAGCUGUGUAUGUCUGUGUAUGUGACUAGCUGUAUGUAUCUGUGUAUGUGACUAGCUGUAUGUAUCUGUGUAUGUGACUAGCUGUAUGUAUCUGUGUAUGUGGCUAGCUGUGUGUAUCUGUGUAUAUGACUACUACUAGCUGUGUGUAUUUGUGUAUUAAAAUGGCAGACUUAGUUCAGUAUAAUAGGUGUUAUGCAUUUGUUUCACGUUACACUUUUUGGAGAUUUGGAUGCUGUCUAAUCUGUAGACAGUUUUCUAUAUUGCUGCAGGAGAUUGUAUUUUUGAAGUCUGAGAUUUGUAAAUUAUCUGGUAAACAAACUCUGGCUGGAACUGUUGCAAAACCACUGCCGCAAAGACGUACUUGGAAUGGCAGAUGGAUUACUGUAGGAUCUGGUAGACUUAGAGUUGUGGAUAAAAGGUAUAUUGCACAGUCUGUUGCUCUACAUAAUUCAUUUUCUGCACUUUCAGAGUGUAAUGGUGUUGUGGAGACAGGCUCAGGCACUGAGUGUAGUGGUGUUGUGGGGACAGGCUUGGAGACUAUGGUGAGGCCUGAUAGAAACCAGUUGUUGUUGGGGGAUUCUAGCAUAAGAGGUGUGGAGCUGGACAAUAGUGGCCGUAUGAGAUGUCUUCCUGGAGCUACUGCUAACAGAGAUAAACAAAUAUCAGUAUUUCCCUUAGAGUUCAAUAUUGGAAAUCAAAGUCCACAAUGUUGCAAUACUAUACAAUAAUAACUGUAUAUAAACAUUCAUUGAAUUGUAAAAAAGCUACAUAUAAGUACACAAUGAUAGCAGCUAAUAUAGUCUCCGUUGAAUACAGUUCUAUAGCUGUGGUUAAAAUGUAAGCUGAUAGCAGUUGACUCCAGUUACUGGAUUGGCUGGGGUAUAUCUGCUAAAUUAGCAAGUAUGAUAUAGUACAAAAAAAACAAUGAUGGUCUCCUUUAGAUAAUAAAUUAGCUUGGAAAAUUGUACACUGCUGAUUUGAUAAUAAACUUAAAAAUCAUAGGCAAGGAUUUAAAGUUAUGAGUAAUCGUAAAAAAAAAUCCAUAAUGUUUACUCCAUCAAAGAAAACAUUUUAUUCAAUAAAUAUAAUUUUAAAAAAGUAGUUUGGUGAAAAUCACUCACUAUCUGCGCCAGGUGGUUAUUAGAAUACUACUAAGUUCAUUGGUGACAGCGUGGUUUGGGUCCCUCAGUCCGGCCGGUGAUGGAGAAAUGCUGACAGGAGCCGCGUGCGUGUCACCUUACUGUGUUUCGUGUGUUCCAAUACCACUCGGUAACUUCCAGCGGUGAGUACCGAAAAGCGAUUCAAUACUUACGCGUUUCGUGAGAUACGUCUCACUUCAUGAGAGGAUAACUUGUAGAUUGAGCGAUCGGGUUAAAUACCCAAUAAGAGAUUAUUAACCCAUUAAUUGCAGAAACAUAGCCAUCAUUGAAUUUAUAAGCAAAUCCGUAAUUUAUUACGAUGUAGUAAAAUAUCAUUUUAAAAAAUGACAAAAUAAAGCGGAGUGCGAUAAUAGAAAUGGUGCACUUAAAGGAAUACAAUCAUUAUAAAAAAUAUACUGAUGGCAAUAACAUUAAAAAUAAGUUAAAACCUUACAAAUGAUAAAAUACAUUUUAAAAGAUUGUGGCAUAGUAAUAAAAUUAGAAGUGUACAAGAGAAAUAAGCCUUGCAAUAAAGAUAUACCUUGCAAAUGAAAAAUUACGUUUGUCUAAAGAAGAUAAUAAUAUGAUUAGAAGUGUACAAAAGAUGGACCUUACAACUUAAGAACAUAAUAAUAUACUAUAAUUUACUGUCUACAAUAAGUACAAGCCUUGCAAUAAUAAAAAGCAUUUCACUGAAAUCGAAUACCGUUUGGUUGUAUAGUUUGCAAUAUACAAAUAAACAUGGAUAGUACAUUUAUAUAGAUAAGGAGUUGAAUGGUGUGUAGUUGGAGAUAUUCUAGAGAGUUUUACAGAAGCUUCAACUGUCUAAGAGUUGUGCUAAGAGCUUUCUUUUCUACUGUUACAGGUAAGAUUCAUCUGUAGGAAAAGGUUACUGAUUGCACAAGGUUUGAAUUCCUGUUGGUAAUUAUAAGGCAUUUGAUUUGAUUAAGCUAGUUACUUGCUAUUGAUUGCUGGUUAAUUAGCUAUUGUUUGCAAAUAAGCAGAGGCCUACCCAGGUGUUAAACAUUCCUAGUGGGUGGGAUUUUAGGAGUUAAAUAAGGCUUGUUGUCAUUAGCUUGGCUAAUAUAGCUUGGUUGCUUCACCUAAGUGUUGCUUCUAAGUGUGCAGUUGGAGAUAUUCUGGAGAGUGUUGCUUCUAAGUGUGCAGUUGGAGAUAUUCUGGAGAGUGUUGCUUCUAAGUGUGUAGUUGGAGAUAUUCUGGAGAUAAACUGAAGGUAAUCUGAGGUAUUCAGGAGGAUAAAGAAAAAAGUUAAGAUUAGUUUGAGUUAAAUUAUUUUCAUCAUUGGAAUGGCAGACUUAGUUCAGUGUAAUAGUUGCUAUACAUUUGUUUCACGUUCUACUUUUUGGAGAUUUGGUUGUUGUCUUAUCUGUAGACAGUUCUCUAUCUUGCGGCAGGAGAUUGUAUUUUUGAAGUCUGAGAUUUGUAAAUUAUCUGGUGAACAAACUCAGACUGGAACUGCUGCAAAGCCACUACCGCAGAGACAUACUAGGAAUGGCAGAUGGAUUACUUUAGGAUCUGGUAGACUUAGAGUUGUGGAUAAAAGGCAUUUUGCACAGUCUGUUGCUCUACAUAAUUAAUUUUCUGCACUUUCAGAGUGUAAUGGUGUUGUGGAGAGAGGCACUGGGGCUAGUGGUGUUGUGGAGAGAGGCACUGAGGCUAGUGGUUUUGUGGAGAGGCGCACUGAGGCUAGUGGUGUUGUGGAGACCGGCUUGGAGACUAUGGUGAGGCCUAAUAGAAAGCAGUUGUUGUUGGGGGAUUCCAUCAUAAGAGGUGUGGAGAUGGACAAUGGUCUUCCCGGAGCUACUGCUCACAGAGACAGGAGACGUAUCUGUAAUAUUGUUAAGCAAGCAAAGCAGGAAUGGGAAUUGGAUGUACUUGUCCAUCUAGGGACAAAGGACUUGGCUUGCAAUGAGGUUUCAGAGGUUAAGGAAGUUUUUAGUGUUUUUGCCAAUGAUAUACGGCAGGUUGCUUCCACACUGUCAUUCUCUGAAGUUCUGCCUGUGCAUAACACUCAGAACGACAGACGAAUGCUUAUUAGGGACUUUAAUUUGUGGCUUGGUGAAUGGUGUCGGGAGCAAGGAUUUGGCUUUAUUUCUCAUGGUAGCUCUGUUUGGAAUGGAAAUAAGCUGUACAAAAAAGAUGGUUUGCAUCUUUCUCAAAAGAGAACAAAUGUUCUCUGUGAGCAGUUCAGAGGUUUUGCUAGGAUGUAUUUAAACUAGAAGGGGGGAGCAAAAGGGUGAUAAAACAUUAAUCCAAUUGUCCCCCAAAACAAGGACAGAAGGUGCCUGUAGCAAGUGUGUUAAAAAAUGAUAAGCUUAGAGUCAUGUCUACAAAUGCUCGCAGUUUAGGGAAAAAGAUCCAUGAACUUGUGGCAAUAAUGGCAACUGAGAGUGUAGAUUUAUUCGCUAUUACUGAGACAUGGUAUAAUGAGAAAAAUGACUGGGACAUAGCAAUACCAGGGUACUCUUUAUAUAGAAAAGAUAGGAAAGGCAAGAAAAGGGGAGGGGUGGCCCUGUAUGUGAAGGAUAGCAUAAAAUCGAGCCUACUAAAAGUUUGUUUGGGUUACUUUAGAAUUUGGUAAUCACACAGUAACUCGUGUAGGUGUGAUUUAUAGGCCCCUAGGACAAAUUGAAGAGUUAGAUAAUCUACUAGUUGAGGAAAUAGCUAAAAUGACAAUGAAGGGGGAAGUUAUCAUCAUGGGUGACUUUAAUCUUCCUGAUGUAAAUUGGAAAACAAAAUUAGCUACAUGUGCCAGGAGCACACAUAUUCUAAACUCACUACUGGGAUUGUCUCUAAAACAUUGUUGAAGAGCCAACUCGUAAAGAGGCCAUACUAGAUUUAGUGUUAACAAAUGGAGAUUUGGUAUCAGAUAUUACUGAAGGUGAAAGUAUAGGAUCCAGUGAUCAUCAGUCAGUGUGGUUUAAUAUAAGAACAGUGACUGAGUCACACCACACAAAAACAAAAGUUUUAGACUUUAGAAAAACAGACUUUUCUAAAAUUAGAAUAUGUGUAGAGGAGUCAUUAUCAGACUGGAGCAAUUUAAAUGGAGUCCAAGAGAAAUGGGAUUAUUUAAAAGUUGCACCAUUGAAGGCAACAGAAAAUUGCAUUAGGCUUGUCAGUAAAAGCAAAAAAUUCAAGAAACCACUGUGGUACUCUGCAGAUGUGGCCAAAAUAGUUAAAAACAAAAAGUUAGCAUUUAGGAAUUAUAAAAAAACCCAGAGUGAGGAAGACAAAAUGAUCUAUAAGAUUAGGCAGAAUGAGGCUAAGCAAGUUAUAAGAGCUUCCAAAUCACACAUAGAAGAGAAAAUAGCACAGCCAUUAAAAAAGGGGGAUAAAACAUUUUUUAGAUACAUAAAUGAGAAAAGAAAAGUAAAACAAGGAUUAGUUCAAUUAAAAACAAAAGAAUGAAGGUAUGUAGAAGAGGAUAAAGGUCUAGCUGACUGCCUCAAUUAAUAUUUUUGUUCUGUAUUUACAGAUGAAAAUGAAGGAAAAGGACCUCAGUUGAGAAAAAGGAUAAAUGAGUCAUUUAUUACAUGUGAGUUUACAGAGGAAGAGGUUCUAUUUCAACUGUCAAAAGUAAAGACAAAUAAGUCAAUGGGACCUGAUGGAAUACACCCAAAGCUAUUAAAAGAGCAUAGUGGUGUACUAGCAAAACCAUUAACAGAUUUAUUUAACCAAUCAUUGUUAACAGGAGUAGUCCCAGAAGAUUGGAAGUUAGCGAAUGUUGUGCCCAUUUACAAGAAAGGUAAUAGGGAGGAGUCGGGCAACUACAGGCCAGUAAGCCUUACUUCAGUAGUGGGGAAAGUGAUGGAAACCAUGUUAAAGGAUAGAAUUGUUGAACAUCUUAAAACACAUGGAUUUCAAGAUCAGAGACAACAUGGAUUUACUUCAGGGAGAUCAUGCCAAACUAAUCUUAUUGAUUUUUUUGAUUGGGUAACUAAAAUUAUAGAUCAGGGUGGUGCAGUAGACAUUGCUUACCUAGAUUUCAGUAAGGCUUUUGACACUGUUGCACAUAGAAGGCUUAUCAAUAAACUGCAAUCUUUAAGUUUGGAUUCCAAUAUUGCUGAAUGGGUAAGGCAGUGGCUGAGUGACAGGCAACAGAGGGUUGUAGUUAAUGGAAUAUAUUCGAAGCUUGGACUUGUCACCAGUGGGGUACCUCAGGGAUCUGUACUUGGACCCAUUCUCUUUAAUAUUUUUAUUAGUGAUAUUGCAGAAGGUCUUGAUGGUAAGGUAUGUCUUUUUGCUGAUGAUACUAAGAUAUGUAACAGGGUUGAUCUUCCAGGAGGGAUAAGCCAAAUGACAAAUGAUUUAGGUAAACUAGAAAAAUGGUCAGAAUUGUGGCAACUGAAAUUUAAUGUGGAUAAGUGCAAGAUAAUGCAUCUUGGACGUAAAAACUGAAGGGCAGAGUACAGAAAAUUUGAUAGAGUUCUAACCUCAACAAUUGAGGAAAGGGAUUUAGGGGUGAUUAUUUCAGAUGACUUAAAGGUAGGCAGACAAUGUAAUACAGCAGCAGGAAAUGCUAGCAGAAUGCUUGGUUGUAUAGGGAGAGGUAUUAGCAGUAGAAAGAGGGAAGUGCUCAUGCCAUUGUACAGAACACUGGUGAGACCUCACUUGGAGUAUUGUACACAGUACUGGAGACCGUAUCUUCAGAAGGAUAUUGAUACCUUAGAGAGGGUUCAGAGAAGGGCUACUAAACUGGUUUAUGGAUUGCAGGAUAAGACUUACCAGGAAAGGUUAAAGGAUCUUAACAUGUAUAGCUUGGAGGAAAGACGAGACAGGGGGGAUAUGAUAGAAACAUUUAAAUAUAUAAAGGAAUCAACACAGUAAAGGAGGAGACUAUAUUUAAAAGAAGAAAAACUACCACAACAAGAGGACAUAGUCUUAAAUUAGAGGGACAAAGGUUUAAAAAUAAUAUCAGGAAGUAUUACUUUACUGAGAGGGUAGUGGAUGCAUGGAAUAGCCUUCCAGCUGAAGUGGUAGAGGUUAACACAGUAAAGGAGUUUAAGCAUGCGUGGGAUAGGCAUAAGGCUAUCCUAACUAUAAGAUAAGGCUAGGGACUAGUGAAAGUAUUUAGAAAAUUGGGCAGACUAGAUGGGCCGAAUGGUUCAUAUCUGCUGUCACAUUCUAUGUUUCUGUGUUUCUAUGUUUCUAAUAGUUGGAUCUUAAGCAUACUAGUAAUCAAUGGAUAUGUAAUGACGAAUAUGGAAAAAAUAGAAACUGUGCUAGUAGAGAGAUAGCCAUAUGAAAGAAUAACUUAAAUUUAGAUGGGAACCAGUAUGUAAACUGGCCAAAUGGAUAUAUAAAAAUAUAAGAAUUAUCAAAAAGUGUAAUAAAAAAAAAAAUAUUUAUAUAUUAAAAAAUGGGACUAUCUUAAAAUGAGAAAAAUAUUUAAAUGCUAAAAACUGAUUAUACUGAAAAAGAACAACCUUUAAAAGAUACCUCUAAAAAACAAUUUAUAAAAAACAAUCUAUAAAAAAGCAUUUAAUUCGAAGUCCACGUUUAAUCCAUAUUCAAUUUGUCGGAACGUACUCUGACAAAAGAGGAAUUAUCUUUACUCCACAAAGGCCUCAAAUUUGCCCCUAACUCUUCCAAUUCAAGUUUUCAUAUAUUCAUAGACCUUCAUAAAUUUAUUAGAAAAUUAUCUAUAAAAAAAUUAUUUCUAGAACAAGAAAGUAAUAGCAUUGAAGGUGACACACAUUACGAACAUACCAAUCUACAUCCUCAAUCCACUUUUUAUCCCUAUCACAUUAAAACAGACCAUAUAAGAGUCUUUGAAAAGAAUGUAGAGAAAGAAUUAAGAAGUUUAAACGUUAAAAAUACAUCCAAAGAUAAUCUCACAAAAAAAAAGAAAGAACAGCUUUAAAAUCCCUAAUGGAAGAUGAUACAAUUGUUACAACGGCAGCAGAUAAAGGAGGAGGAUUGGUAUUACUUAACCUAGAAGAUUAUCAGCAAGAAAAUCAAAGAUUACCAAGUGACAAAAAAACAUACCAGGUACUAAAUAGUAAUCCCACUAAAAAAUUCAACAAGAAUUACAAAACCUAUUGGAGGAAGGAAAACUAAGAGGCAUACUUACAAAAAAAAAAUAUGAUUAUUUAUACUGCCAAUUCCCUAAGAUGGCAGUAUUUUAUCAUGUGCCAAAGAUACACAAGUCUCUCAAUAACCCCCCUGGGCGUCCAAUCAUUUCAGGGAUUGGUUCCUUAACUUCGAAUUUGUCAGAAUAUGUGGAUACAUUUUUGCAAACCAUAGUUACCCAACUCAAAUCUCAUUUAAGGGAUACUAUGCACAUUAUACAAAUUUUAUCAGAAGUAGAAUGGCAAGAAGAAUACAUGCUGGUUUCAGCGGACGUUACAUCGCUAUAUACGGUAAUAGAGCACCUACAAGGUUGCGAAGCGAUCCAGUACGCACUUGCCACUUUCUCAGAACUUAAAAAUGAUCAAAUAGACUAUAUAGUCAAAUGUGUGGCAUUUAUUCUAAGUCAUAAUUUCUUUUGGGCCAACAACCAACACUACUUGCAGGUAGAGGGGAAUGCCAUGGGGACCAGAUUUGCACCAAGCUAUGCAAAUCUUUUUAUGGGAAAAUGGGAGGAUGAAUUUAUCUGGACCCAUAACCCAUACGGCGCAAAUCUGGUCCUGUGGCGGCGCUAUAUCGACGAUUGUAUUUUUAUUUGGAGAGGUGACUCAGUUUUAUUGGAUUCUUUUAAACAGUUUCUCAAUUUUAAUCCAUACAAUUUAAAGUUCACUUUUAAUCAAUCAAAAGAAAAACUGGAAUUUUUAGACUUGGAGAUAUACAUUAAGAACAACAAAACAGAAACUAAAACAUUUAGGAAGUCAGUAGCAUGUAAUAGCUUUAUACCAUACAACAGUUUUCAUACACCUAUUUGGUUAAAAAAUAUACCAUUCAGUCAAUUCCGACGAAUCAGAAGAAACUGUUCAGAACCCAAAAUCUGUAUUCAACAAAUACAAGAGAUGAGAUCCCAAUUCCAAGAAAAAGGUUAUUCUGAAGAUACAUUAGACAAGGCUAUCAUCAAAACCAUUGAAAUACCACGGUCAAAAUUUUUAGAAGCAAAGCCCAGAAUUCCUUUCAAUCAAUCAAAUACUCUCCUACCUUUAUCACCAGAUUCAAUCACCAUUCAGGUCAGAUAAAGAAAAUCUUACAAAACAACUGGAACAUUCUCAAAGGAGAUCCACAAUUGGAUAAAAUAUUAGGUAACCAACCACGGAUUAUUCAUUCAAAAGCACCCAAUUUAGGUAUCCUAUUAGCCCCCACAACAAAACAAGAGGAACCUACAAAACAAAAUCCCACAGUUUCUACACACAUGAAAGGCUUCUGGAAAGGCAAAACAUGCAUAGCAUGUAAAAAUAAUCCUGACCAACCCAUCCAUAGCAAGGAAUUUGUGCACCCUCAAACUAAAGAAUAAUUUCCAAUUAAAAAUCAUUUAAAUUGUAACACCAGUGGAGUGAUUUAUAUUUUAAGCUGUCCCUGCAAUAAAAUAUAUGUAGGACGUACAAAGAGAGCUUUUAAAGUUAGAGUCAGUGAACACAUUAAAACAUUAGAAAAGGCCUUAAUGUACAUAACCUUUCAAAACACUUUGCCAUUAAACAUGAAAAAGACCCAAAAGGAUUAAAAUUCAGGGCCGCCAUCAGUGGGUGACAACCAUAACGGUUAUCACGGGCCCGGCGGUCCUUGGGGCCCGGACUGCUUUGGCAGUCCAGGGCCCCACAAUUACUCUCUGCACCUAUAUAUAGCGAUGGUCGCUAUAUAUAGGUGCAGCCGCGGGCCCCCGGCUCCCUAUACUUGCAGAGGGGGCCCAGCAGACUGCAGGAGCACAUUACAGCUCUUCCCUCUCUCUAACUCCCGCAAGAAGUGCGGCCAUUAGAGCGUUGCCAUGGGUUAUGUGGUGUGCGGCGUGCACACCACGUCUCGCUGGAGUUAGAGAGAGGGAAAUGCUGUAAAGUGCUCCUGCAUUCCGCUGGGCCCCCUCUGCAAGUAUAGGGAGCUGGGGGGCCCCACCAUGCCACCUGACCACCAGGGAUGGAAUCUCUCCACCUCCCUGGACCAGGUAAGAAACAGGGAGGGGGGAAUAACAGAUUACAUUUACAGUCUUACAUUACAUGCAUACAUUAGUAAACACACACACACCCUGAUUUCAUUACACUAACACACACUCUGCAUUCACUACACUAACACACACACUGCAUUCAUUACACUUACACACACACUGCAUUCAUUACACUAACUAACACUCUGCAUUCACUACACUAACACACACACUGCAUUCAUUACACUAACACACACUCUGUAUUCAUUACACUAACACACACUCUGCAUUCACUACACUAACACACACACUGCAUUCAUUACACUAACACACACACUGCAUUCAUUGCACUGACACACUCUGCAUUCAUUACAUUAACACACACUGCAUUAAUUGCACUAACAGACACUCUGCAUUCAUUACACUAACACACAGUCUGCAUUCAUUACACUGACACACUCUGCAUUCAUUGCACUGACACAUUCUGCAUUCAUUACACUAACACACACUCUGCAUUCAUUGCACUAACACACACUCUGCAUUCAUUACACUAACACACAGUCUGCAUUCAUUACAAUGACACACUCUGCAUUCAUUGCACUGACACACACACUGCAUUCAUUACACUAACACACAGUCUGCAUUCAUUACACUGACACACUCUGCAUUCAUUGCACUGACACACACACUGCAUUCAUUACACUGACACACUCUGCAUUCAUUACACUAACACACACACUGCAUUCAUUACACUGACACGCUGCAUUCAUUUCACUAACACACACUUUGCAUUCAUUACACUAACACACACUGCAUUCAUUGCACUACACACUCUGCAUUCAUUGCGGGGGAGGGGGGGAGUCCGGCCGGCUGGGCGGGGGGGGGGAGGGCAUGGGGGGUCCAGACCUUGUGCUUUGUUAGGGGCCCCAAAAUUUCUGGUGGCGGCACUGUUAAAAUUUAUGGCAAUACAGAAAGUUAAUAUUCCAUGGAGUGGGGGAGACCUAGAGAAAGAAUUGGAUAAAGAGGAAGCUAAGUGGAUUUUUAAAUUAGAUACUCUGGAACCUAAAGGGUUAAACAUGGACUUCGAAUUAAAUGCUUUUUUAUAGAUUGUUUUUUAGAGGUUGCUUUUUACAAGUAUCUUUUAAAGGUUGUUGUUUUUCAGUAUAAUCAGUUUUUAGCAUUUAAUUCCUUUUCUCAUUUUAAGAUAGUCCCAUUUUUUAUAUAUAUAUAUAUAUAUAUAUAUAUAUAUAUUUUUUUUUUUUUAUAUAUUUUUAUUACACUUUUUCAUAAUUCUUAUUUUUUUAUAUAUCCAUUUGGCCAGUUUUCAUACUGGUUCCCAUCUAAAUCUAAGUUAUUCUUUCAUAUGGCUAUCUCUCUACUAGCACAGUUUCUAUUUUUUUCCAUAUUCGUCAUUACAUAUCCAUUGAUUACUAGUAUGUUUAAGAUCCAACUAUUAGACCAUUCAACUCCUUAUCUAUAUAAAUUUACUAUCCAUGUUUAUUUGUAUAUUGCAAACUAUACAACCAAACGGUAUUCGAUUUCAGUGAAAUGUUCUUUAUUAUUGCAAAGCUUGUACUUAUUGUAGACAGNNNNNNNNNNNNNNNNNNNNNNNNNNNNNNNNNNNNNNNNNNNNNNNNNNNNNNNNNNNNNNNNNNNNNNNNNNNNNNNNNNNNNNNNNNNNNNNNNNNNUUGCUGAUAAAUUCAAUGAUGGCUAUAUUUCUGCAAUUAAAGGGUUAGUAAUCUCUUAUCGGGUAUUUAACCCGAUCGCUCAAUCUACAAGUUAUCCUCUGAUGAAGUGAGACGUAUCUCACGAAAAGCGUAAGAAGUUACCAAAUGGUAUUGGAACGCACGAAACACAGUAAGGUGACACGCACGCGGCUCCUGUCAGCAUUUCUCCAUCACCGGCCGGACUGAGGGACCCAAACCACGCUGUCACCAAUGAACUCAGUAGUAUUCUAAUUACCACCUGGCGCAGAUAGUGAGUGAUUUUCACCAAACUACUUUUUUAAAAUUAUAUUUAUUGAAUAAAAUGUUUUCUUUGAUGGAGUAAACAUUAUGGAUUUUUUUUUUAGUGUACAAUUUUCCAAGCUAAUUUAUUAUCUAAAGGAGACCAUCAUUGGUUUUUUGUACUAUAUCAUACUUGCUAAUUUAGCAGAUAUACCCCAGCCAAUCCAGUAACUGGUGUCCACUGCUAUCAGCUUAAUUUGAACCACAGAUAUAGAACUGUAUUGAACAGAGACUAUAUUAGCUGCUAUAAUUGUGGACUUAUUUGUAGCUUUUUUACAAUUCAAUGAAUUUUUAUAUACAGUUAUUAUUGUAUACUAUUGCAACAUUGUGGACUUUAAUUCCCGGUAUUAAACUCUAAGGGAAAUACUGAUAUUUGUUUAUCAGACCUCAUACAAGCUGUUAAAGAGGUAACCAUUUCUGUAUAUUUUGUUCUAUAACACUAUCUGAUAUUCCUAUAUUACUCCUGGGCAUCUAGUUAGAUUUUAUCUAACAUUUUAUUUUCAGAGACAGAAGACGUAUUUGUAAUAUUUAGGGAUCGACCGAUUAUCAGUUUUACCGAUAUUAUCGGCCGAUAUUCGGUAUUUUCGGCAAUAUCGGUAUCGGCCAAUUCAGAUACCGAUAUUGCCGAUAAUAUAUAACAGGACCGCCAGGCUCAUUACAAGCCCGGCGGUCCUGAGGGGGCCCGCAGGUAGCGCUUACUUACCUCCCAGCAGCUACUUCAGCUCCCCAGUGUAAGUCUCGCGAAACCCGCGGCCGUCAGAGCAUUGCCACGGGUUACCAUGGCAAUGCUCCGCGCGGCACACUGGCCGCAAGACUUACACUGGGGAGCUGGAGAAGCUGCUGGGAGGUAAGUAAGCGCUACCUGCGGGCACCACCACAGCUCAGCCAAUGCCACUGGACCACCAGGGACUGCUAUAUCCCCCCUCCCUGGCCAGGAAACAAGCAGGGAGGGGGGGGGGGACAACAAAAAUAAAUAAAAAUAAUUAAAUAUAUUAAAAAAAAAUGUUUAAUAAAAAAAAUGCCCCCUCACACACACACUCCAUUAUAUACACAUACACUACACAAACACACUGUGUAUAUAAUGCAGUGUGUUUGUAUAGUGUGUGUAUGUAAUGCACACUACACAAACACACUGCAUUAUAUACACACACUAUACAAACACACUGCAUUUUAUACACACACUACACAAACACACUGCAUUAUAUAAACACACUACACAAACACACUGUAUUAUAUACACACACUAUACAAACACACUGCAUUAUAUUUACUCACUAUACAAACACACUGCAUUAUAUAAACACACUACAAAAACACACUGCAUUAUAUAAACACACUACACAAACGCACUACAUUAUAUACACAGUGUGUUUGUGUAGUGUAUUUAUAUAAUGCAGUGAGUGUGUGUUAGUAUAGUGUGUGUAUAUAAUGCAGUGUGUUUAUAUAAUGCACACUACACAAACACACUUCAUUAUAUACACACACUGCAUUAUAUAAACACACUUCAUUCACUAUACACACACUACACAAAUACAGACACACACUCUGUAUUCAUUAUAUACACACACUACACAAACACACACACUUUGCAUUUAGUAUGUACAGCAUUCACUUUACACACACACUGCAUUCACUUUACGCACACUACCCACACACUACACAAACACUCUGCUUUCAUUAUAUACACACUACACUAAUACACACUUCAUCCACUGCACACACUAGACAAAUACACACUGCAUCCACUACAUAAACACACACUGCAUCCACUACACACAACACAAACACACACUGCAUCAACUACACACACACUACACAAACACACACUGCAUCCACUACACACACUACACAAACACACACAGCUCCCCUGUCUAAACACACUGCAUCCACUACAUGUGGCAUGUAUAUUUUGUGCAUUUACCUUCAGAAAUAGUUUUUAUUUUCCAAAAUGGUGCAAUGUACAGAAUAUCGGCCUGAAAGUUCACAGAAUAUCGGUAUCGGUAUUGGCUCUAAAAAAUCAAUAUCGGUCGAUCCCUAGUAAUAUUCUUAAGUGAGCAAAGCAGGAAGGGGAAUUGGAUGUACUGGUCCAUAAGGACUUGCAAUGAGGUUUCAGAGGUAAAGGAAGUUUUUGUAUUUUUGCCAAUGAUAUAAGGUAGGUUGCUUCCACACUGUCAUUCUCUGAAGUUCUGCCUGUGUGAACACUCAGAACGACAGGCGGAUGCAUAUUAGGGACUUUAACUUGUGGCUUUAUGAAUGGUGUCGGAAGCAAGGAUUUGACUUCAUUUUUUGAUGGUAGCUCUGUUUCGAAUGGAAAUAAACUGUACAAAAAGAUGGUUUGCAUCUUUCUCAAAAGGGAAAAAUGUUCUCAGUGAGCAGUUCAGAGGUUUUGCUAGAAUGUAUUUAAACUAAGAGGGGGGCAAAAGGGUGAUACAACAUCCAUCCAAUUUCCCCCCAAAACAAGGACAGAAGGUGCCUGUAGCAAGUGUGUUAAAAAAUGAUAAGCUUAGAGUCAUCUCUACAAAUGCUCGCAGUUUAGGGAAUAAGAUCCAUGAACGUGUUUCAAUAAUGGCAACUGAUAAUGUAGAUUUAGUCGCUGUUACUGAGACAUGGUAUAAUGAGAAAAAUGACUGGGACAUAGCAAUACCAGGGUACUCUUUAUAUAGAAAAGAUAGGGAAGGGGGAGGGAUGGCCCUGUAUGUGAAGGAUAGCAUAAAAUCUAGCCUAAUAAAAGUUAGUGAGGCGAACAUAGAGUCAGUUUGGGUUACGUUAGAAUUUGGUAAUCACACAGUAACUAGUGUAGGUGUAAUUUAUAGGCCCGCAGGACAAAUAGAAGAGUUAGAUAAUCUACUAGUUGAGGAAAUAGCUAAAAUGACAAUGAAGGGGGAAGUUAUAGAAACAUAGAAACAUAGAAACAUAGAAUGUGACGGCAGAUAAGAACCAUUUGGCCCAUCUAGUCCGCCCAAUUUUCUAAAUACUUUCAUUAGUCCUUGGCCUUAUCUUAUAGUUAGGAUAGCCUUAUGCCUAUCCCACGCAUGCUUAAACUCCUUUACUGUGUUAACCUCUACCACUUCAGCUGGAAGGCUAUUCCAUGCAUCCACUACCCUCUCAGUAAAGUAAUACUUCCUGAUAUUAUUUUUAAACCUUUGUCCCUCUAAUUUAAGACUAUGUCCUCUUGUUGUGGUAGUUUUUCUUCUUUUAAAUAUAGUUUCCUCCUUUACUGUGUUGAUUCCCUUUAUAUAUUUAAAUGUUUCUAUCAUAUCCCCCCUGUCUCGUCUUUCCUCCAAGCUAUACAUGUUAAGAUCCUUUAACCUUUCCUGGUAAGUUUUAUCCCGCAAUCCAUGAACCAGUUUAGUAGCCCUUCUCUGAACCCUCUCUAAGGUAUCAAUAUCCUUCUGAAGAUACGGUCUCCAGUACUGUGUACAAUACUCCAAGUGAGGUCUCACCAGUAUUCUGUACAAUGGCAUGAGCACUUCCCUCUUUCUACUGCUAAUACCUCUCCCUAUACAACCAAGCAUUCUGCUAGCAUUUCCUGCUGCUCUAUUACAUUGUCUGCCUACCUUUAAGUCAUCAGAAAUAAUCACCCCUAAAUCCCUUUCCUCAUAUGUUGAAUUUAGGACUCUAUCAAAUAUUCUGUACUCUGCCCUUGGGUUUUUACGUCCAAGAUGCAUUAUCUUGCACUUAUCCACAUUAAAUGUCAGUUGCCACAAUUCUGACCAUUUUUCUAGUUUACCUAAAUCAUUUGCCAUUUGGCUUAUCCCUCCUGCAACUUUAACCCUGUUACAUAUCUUAGUAUCAUCAGCAAAAAGACAUACCUUACCAUCAAGACCUUCUGCAAUAUCACUAAUAAAAAUAUUAAAGAGAAUGGGUCCAAGUACAGAUCCCUGAGGUACCCCACUGGUGACAAGUCCAAGCUUCGAAUAUAUUCCAUUAACUACAACCCUCUGUUGCCUGUCACUCAGCCACUGCCUUACCCAUUCAACAAUAUUGGAAUCCAAACUUAAAGAUUGCAGUUUAUUGAUAAGCCUUCUAUGUGCAACAGUGUCAAAAGCCUUACUGAAAUCUAGGUAAGCAAUGUCUACUGCACCACCCUGAUCUAUAAUUUUAGUUACCCAAUCAAAAAAAUCAAUAAGAUUAGUUUGGCAUGAUCUCCCUGAAGUAAAUCCAUGUUGUCUCUGAUCUUGAAAUCCAUGUGUUUUUAGAUGUUUAACAAUCCUAUCCAUCAUGGGUGACUUUAAUCUUCCUGAUGUGAACUGGAAAACCAAAUUAGCUACUUGUGCCAGGAGCACACAUAUCCUAAACUCCCUACUGGGAUUGUCUCUAAAACAAGUCGUUGAGGAGCCAACUCGUAAUGAGGACAUACUAGAUUUAGUGUUAACAAAUGGAGAUUUGGUAUCAAAUAUUACUAUAGGUGAAAGAAGUUUAGGAUCCAGGGAUCAUCAGUCAGUGUGGUUUAAUAGAAGAACAGUGGCUGAGUCACACCACACAAAAACAAAAGUUUUAGACUUUAGAAAAACAGACUUUUAAAAAAUUAGAAUAUGUGCAAAGAAGUCGUUAUCAGACUAGAGCAGUUUAACCCCUUAAGGACCAAACUUCUGGAAUAAAAGGGAAUCAUGACAUGUCAGACAUGUCAUGUGUCCUUAAGGGGUUAAAUGGAGUCUGUGACGAAAACACCUUCAUCACUGGUGUUUGGAGGGGCCUGUUUGCCAGCCUCUUGCUGCAGGACUAUGGCCCAUAUGUUAAAAUGGGUCGUAGGGCUAUGGAAAGGCUUUUUUGUACCUUUCCCCUCAUAUGGUUCGAUAUUUGGGGUUGCCGAUCAAACUGUCCAACAACCGGACCACCCACAAGUGUAGCGUGUCCCUCAUUUACCUCCCAAGAGCUGUGGUUAACCGUAGCUAAUUGAUGAAUGGCUGGGAGAUCGGCGUUCGUAUGAACGAACACGUGGCGGCGGCUAUUUUGUUUAGCCAAAUGCACUCAGCUGUGUUUUGUCGUCGAACGCCUGGACACGCAAAAGCAUGAACACCGCUGGGACUUCCACCUUCCGAGCGUUCGGCUAAAUUCACAUUAACGGAGCACUAUUUCUGGAAAACAAACUAACAAACGAGACGCUUGCAAUGAAGUACUGUGCAAACGGAUCUGUUCUGUAUACAUUAAGGAAAGGAGAAGAUAGACCAGCCACACAGCCUAAAUCUGUGGAACUAUUGUGAGCGGUCAAAUGUGACUUCCAUAGAAUUUGGGAACCCCUGCUCUGAUCUGGGUUAUUUUUGAAAAUGUGGUUCACCCAGAUCAGAGCUAUCCAGGAAUGUAUAAUUUGUGGGGAUAUGUUUGUGUUUUGGGGUGUUUCUGGACUUUGGGUAAAAAUUUAUAUUUUCUGCCUAUGGAUAAUAAGGUUAUUCCAUUAGCUAUAGCUAUCUUAAUUAUAUCACAGGCAGAGGGGAGGGAUUGCUGACUGUAUGUGGGAGUGUUGCUGUACUAAUUAUUGUUCCUAUUGGUUUGUGUCCCUUUUGUCCAUCAGGUCCAGGGGGUGUGCCUGAAAAUAUGUAUAAAAGAAAUGCCCUUACACUCAAUAAACCAGACCUACUUACCCUUCAUGAAGGCUUGGCUCAUGUUUGGGGGAUUGGAGAACCACACUCUGAGGAUUGCUAUAAUCACUAUACUCCCCAGAGUAUAAUCACUAGCUCUUGUAAGAGCUUUUCUUGUUCCUGUUCCUGCUCUCUGGAUUUAAGGAGAGGUUCACCUACUGGAAGCUGGAGCCCGGUCUUGGGUCCAGGGUGAGUGGAGGACGACGAAACCCCAACCAAGGUUUGCGGUGGUUGUGGUGUCGAGUGUGUUGCUGAUGGUCCUUGGCGAGCACUAGGAGCAUCGUUUGACGCCAGUCUGGGUGGCAGGCGUUCCGUCAGAGUCCAAGAGAAAUGGGAUUAUUUAAAGGUUGCACUGCUGAAAGCAACAGAAAAUUGCAUUAGGCUUGUCAGUAAAAGCAAAAUAAAUUAAGAAAUCACCGUGGUACUCAGCAGAUGUGGCCAAAAUAGUAAACGAAAAGUUAGCAUUUAGUAAUUAUAAAAUAACCCAGAGUGAGGAAGAUAGACAGAUCUUUAAGAUUAGACAGAGGUUAAGCAAGUUAUAAGAGCGUUCAAAUCACACACAAAAGAGAAAAUAGCACAGUCAGUAAAAAAAGGGGACUGUUAAGACACCCCCAGUGUCUUUAAAUAAAGCCGCCGUUUAGUCGACCUUACCCUGCUGCAGCACCAAUAAUCUCCGUUCGCAUAACUGUAGUGCACGAACCAAACUCAGGGGAAGCGGCAAUCUCCCGACCGGGAUCAGUGAAAGGCUCCAACCUCCCGAACGGAACUCCACGAACUGCUGCUAGCCGCCGAACAAUAAUAUCCACCAAGCGGCUUUCGGUUCCAUCCAGCAGUCUCUAAACGCAAAUAAUAAAUCCCCCCAAUAACGAGACAGAAGCUCCGCAUUGAGGGUCAAACAGGAUCUGGCUUUACUGUGGGCUACCUGCCCGUAUUUAUGCAGGUCUCCCACUUGGUGGACACUCCCCUAGGGGACCAAAUGGGAGACUUAAAUGACAGACAGAUAUGGGGACAUUCCAGACACAUAGACACAGUUUUUACCCACAAUGCACUAUGAUUCCCUCCCCUCUGCCCUGGAGAUAAUUACCAAGUAACUCAAUUAUCUCCAGGACAAAGCCAGUCGCCAUUUUAAAUAUAAAAUCAUAAAAGACAUAAAAAUACAUAACUUUAAAAUAACCGAACAUUUCCCAUUCGUAUCACAUAUCCCCAGAUCCCUGGAUCUGAGUGCAUAUUAUUAGCGAAUAGCGCUCAGAUCCCACACACAUUUCAAUCGCCAUGGAGUCAAAGCUCUUACAGUCCUUCGGUAUACGAAUGACUCCAUGGGAAGGCUAUCUGGGUUAAGUCCUUUCGUAUGCUUCAAACCUCCCGAAUGGCCGGUAUUCGUAUGCUUUCGUGAAGGCAGCCAGGCGUUCCGUUGUUUCAGCGGUGUUCGGCAGAAAAAGUGUCCGUUUUUAGUUCCAUAGAAAUAGAGCCAAACACCGCUGGGCUUUCGCGUGGUUUAAAAUGGCCGCUGCCUCGUGGUCGACAUACGAAAGCCAACCACCCUGAAUUAGUUUAAUUGAGAAGUGUCUGCGGUUAACCACAACGUUCUAAUUGAGAUCAAUAGGUUAACCAGCAGCACACUUCUCUCCGUUCGGUAGGUUUGUUCGGGAAAAAACAGUCAUUCGUAUGGCUGGACUAUAGAAACAGCCAUUUACACGAAAGGAGGCAGAAAUAGACGAAUCCACCACAAUAGGCAGUCAGAUGGUUCUGUCACACGGCUCCCUCCUUGUGGGACACUCCGGCAGACCCGGCUUGACCCUGUGGCGGGUCAACUUGGGGAUGACCGGACUAGGAGGUGGUGGAGACGUCUGUUUGUCGGGAUAACCCAUCUGCAUUCACGUUCAGCUUACCGAGUCUGUAGCUGAUGGUAAAAUUGUAGGGCUGCAAUGCCAAGCUCCAUCUCAGUAGUCUCCCAUUGUCUCCUGAGACCCGGUUAAGCCAAACGAGUGGGUUAUGAUCCAUCACCAGGGAAAACUCUUGCCCUUACAAAUAGGGACUUAACUUUUUCAAUGCCCAGACCAAGGCCAAGCACUCCUUCUCCACUGCCGCACAACUCACUUCUCUGGGUAACAACUUUCUGCUGAGAUAUGCGACAGGGUGCUCUCCUCCAUCCUCCCCGACUUGGCUCAGCCCCCAGUCCAUACAUGGAAGCAUCUGUGUGGACGAGAAAGCGUUUGUUAGGGACUGGGGCAGCCAAGACAGGGGCAUUCACAAGAGCCUGUUUUAGUGCCUGGAACGCAGCUUCACAAGCCGGAGACCACAGGACCUGCUUAGGCAAGUUCUUCUUUGUCAGGUCUGUCAGGAGCUUAGCAAUAGUGCUGUAGUCAGGGACAAAACAUCUGUAGUACCCUGCCGUCCCCAAAAAGGCCAAUACCUGGGUCUUAGUGGUAGGUGUGGGCCAGAUAGCCACCGCCUCUACCUUGGCUGGCUCUGGUCUCUGGCUCCCACACCCCACUCUGUGACCCAGGUACUGUACUUCAGCCAUAACUAGAUGGCACUUCUCUGGCUUCAAUGUCAGACAAGCGGCCCGAAUUUUAUCCAGCACUACCCCUACAUGUACCAGGUGUUCCUCCCAGGACCCACUGUAAAUCGCAAUGUCGUCCAAGUAUGCACAGGCAAAUUCUUGGAAGCCAUCCAGGAGUCUAUCCACCAUCCGUUGGAAGGUAGCCGGUGCAUUUUUCAUCCCAAAAGGCAUGACCUUAAAUUGGUACAGGCCAAAUGGGGUGACAAAUGCCGACUUGGGGAUAGCAUCCUCGGCAAGUAGCCCUUACACAGGUCUAUGGUGGUCAGAUAGCGCCCCCUGGCAAUAAGAUCCAGUAAUUCGUCUACCCUGGGCAUUGGGUAGGCGUCAGUGGUGGUCCGCUCGUUGAGCCGCCUGUAGUCCACACAGAACCGGGUGGUCCCAUCUUUCUUGGGCACCAGGACUACAGGCGAAGCCCAAGGGCUGUCGGAGUGCUUGAUGACCCCAAGCUGGGUCAUCUCCUGUAUCUCCUUCCGCAUUCCUUCACGGACUGCUUCAGGGAUACGAUAGGGGGGCUGUCGUAAGGGGGUCUGUCCAGGUGUCUCUACCUUAUGUACAGCUAGGGUGGUAUAACCUGGUUCCUGGGAGAACGUCGCCUGCUUCUCCCACAACAACUGCUGCGCCUGUACCUUUUCUGUUGGGUUCAACCUGUCCCCUAGCUGUACAAGGGUAGUAAGGUCAGUCUGGGAAUCCCUUUCUAAUAAAUCUGAAAGCGGUAAAUUCUCAGAAUCAUCUGCAGCUGGGGCACAUACUGCUGCAAUGUUCUCAGGUCUUUCCUGGUACUCUUUCAGCAUGUUCACAUGGAAGGAUCGCUGGACCCUCUCAUCUGCACAGCUGGCUAUCAAGUAAGUAGUAUCGCAGAUCUGCGCCACUACCUUGUACGGGCCCUGCCAAGAUGCUUGCAUCUUGUUGGCCUUCACAGGUUUGAGCACCAAUACCUUUUGCCCAAUCUGGAACACCCGCUGUUGGGCACCCUGAUCGUACCAUCUCUUCUGUCUCCCCUGGGCCACCUGGAGAUUCUCCCUUACCAUCAGGGACAGUUUCUCCAUGCAGUCCUGGAGUUCCAGAACAUAUGGCACUAUGGGGGGCCCCCUCCUGCUCCGUCUCCCCCUCCCAGUGGCCUCGAAUGAGAUCUAGGGGUCCGCGGACCCUUCUCCCAUACAGCAGCUCAAAGGGGGAGAACCCAGUGGAUUCCUGGGGCACCUCUCUGUAAGAAAAUAACAGAUGAGGCAGGAACCUCUCCCAGUCUCUGCAAGUAUCUGUAAAGGUCCUCAGCAUCUGUUUGAGAGUACCGUUAAAGCGCUCGCAGAGACCAUUAGUCUGCGGGUGGUAGGGUGAGCUAAGUAACGGCUUAAUGCCACACACCUUCCACAGCUGCUGGGUGAGCACAGCGGUGAAUUGGGUUCCCUGGUCGGAGAGGAUCUCCUUAGGGAACCCGACCCUAGUAAAAAUUCUAACCAGGGCAUCAGCAACCAUCUCUGCCUCUAUAUUAGACAGCGCUACUGCCUCUGGAUAGCGAGUGGCAUAGUCCACCACGGUAAGAACGUAUUUCUUACCUGAUGGACUAGCCCUGGCCAGUGGACCCACAAUGUCAACAGCUAUGCGGGCAAAGGGCUCCCCUAUAAUAGGCAUCGAUAAUAGCCUAGCCUUAGGGUGGUCCCCCCGCUUUCCUACCCAUUGACACGUGUCAUACGUACUGCAAUACAUCCGCACAGCCUGGUUAAAGUUUGGCCAAAAGAAGUUCUGUGAGAUGCUAUAGGCGGUGCGGCGGGACCCUAGAUGUCCAGCUAACGGAACAUCAUGCCCUAUCCGCAGAAUCUCCUGCCGGUACUUUGCAGGUACCACUAACUGUCAAUUCGGUGGAGGGGCAACACUCUUCUGGGAAGGCUUAGGGAUCCGAUAUAACCUGUCCCCCACCCACUCAUACCGCUCCCCAUCUACUCUUUCCUCUCCAGCAUCUGCCCUAUCUCGGUAUUUCUGGAGAGUCGGGUCUGCCCGGGUUUCCCUCCCAAACUCCUCUGGGGAAUCCCAGCUUAAGGGGGCCUGAUCUAGGGUACCAGUCGGGGAAGAGGGUCUUACCUGGGUCUCAUCAGCAGGUGGGCCGGUUCCAGCAGCACGAGUAGUCACUGGGUUAACGUCCGCAGGGCCCAUCGGGGCAUAGGCUGAAACCAACGGGGCCAAAUCAUUCCCAAGGAGGACAUCAGCGGGCGCUAGACCCCCACAUCCACGUGUCUAGUGCCCACUCCCCAAUCCAAAUGUACCCGGGCAACAGGUAAACGAAACACGGCACCCCCUGCUACCCUCACCGCCACAGUGUCCCCAGUGUGCUGAUGCUCCGAGACCAAGUUCUUUUGGAGCAGUGUCAUAGUGGCUCCUGUGUCUCUCAGCCCAUUUACCACUCUGCCAUUCAGCUUCACGGUUUGCCGAUGUUGCUGGCGGUUGUCCUGAUGAGCUGCUUGCACUGGGUCAGCCUCGUGUAGAAUGCCCCAGAACUCCUCCUGCUCAAUACAGUGAGCUGCAGGUUGAGGUGGCCGCUGGUUCCCGUUGGCUGGUCUCCUCCAUGACUGGGCCUGAUUGGCGCUGUUCAGAGGGCAUUCCGGUUGCUUGUGCCCCAACUGUUUGCACCCAAAGCACCGGAUUGGUUGCGAAUAGUCCCUGGCAUUGAACCGAGAGGGUUGCACAUAGUUAUUAGCUGGCGGUACGGCUGGGGUGCGGUGUACUGGGGGUUGGUAUGCUGAAGGAGCUGGUGUUACUGCUGGUCGAUACUCCAGUCUGGCAGGGACUUUGGCAGCUGUACUAUCCAAUUUGCGGGCGUCUGUGUAUUCGUCUGCCAGAUGAGCAGCCUCGGGUAGGGUAGAGGGUUUUCUAUCUCUGACCCACUCCCGGACCCCAGCAGGUAGUCUAUCAAAGCAGUGCUCCAGCAAGAACACUUGUAGCACUUCCUCCCCAGUUACCGCUUGGCAUCCUGCCAUCCAGUGGGCUGCGGUACGAUGAACUCUGCAGGCCCACUCCACAUAAGAAUCACCAACCUGCUUGUUGGUUUCUCUAAAUCGCCGCCUGUAAGCUUCUGGGGUCACCGCAUACCUGGCUAGGAGUGCAUCCUUCGCAGCCCGGUAGCUGGUGAUCUCCUCCUCUGGGAUGGCCCGAAACACUUCACUCGCCCGGCCGGAUAAUUUCCCAGAGAGGAUGGUGACCCAGUCAUCUGCGGGUACCUGGUGUAGGGCACACUGCCUCUCGAAGUCCGCCAGGAACCCAUCAAUCUCUCCCUCUGUUUCCACAAAAUUUUUAAAUGCUGCAAAGGGUACCUUUUUUCUAGCAAAAUUAUUAUUGGGUACCUCUGCUGCUGUAGCUCCUCUUUCCCGGAGCGCCUGGUGUGCCAUUACUGCUGCCUGCACACGCUCCACGAUGUCAGCUGAGGGGUUGGGCCAAAAUGUGCCAGCCUUAUUUGCACUGCCCGGUUAAAUUGUAUUUCCUCGGGUGUUAACUCCAAAAUACUGGGCACAUUAGCUCUCUCCUUUCCCGGUGCUGCAUCCAUCUCCAGUAGUAAAGCAAUAAUUUCUCUCUUUUUUAAAUUGCUUGCUGACCUUCUUCAGCGUUCCAAUAUAUCCUUAAGUGUAGCACGCCUUAAUUCCUCGUACUGCAUGUCUUGUAGCUGACCUCCUGUGCUGUGGGAUUCAUCCCACCGCUGCUACCAAUUGUUAAGACACCCCAGUGUCUUUAAAUAAAGCCACCGUUUAGUCGACCUUCCCCUGCUGCAGUACCAAUAAUCUCCGUUCGCAUAACUGUAGUGCACGAACCAAACUCAGGGGAAGCGGCAAUCUCCCGACCGGGAUCAGUGAAAGGCUCCAACCUCCCGAACGGAACUCCACGAACUGCUGCUAGCCGCCGAACAAUAAUAUCCACCAAGCGGCUUUCGGUUCCAUCCAGCAGUCUCUAAGCGCAAAUAAUAAAUCCCCCCAAUAACGAGACAGAAGCUCCGCAUUGAGGGUCAAACAGGAUCUGGCUUUACUGUGGGCUACCUGCCUGUAUUUAUGCAGGUCUCCCACUUGGUGGACACUCCCCUAGGGGACCAAAUGGGAGACUUAAAUGACAGACAGAUAUGGGGACAUUCCAGACACAUAGACACAGUUUUUACCCACAAUGCACUAUGAUUCCCUCCCCUCUGCCCUGGAGAUAAUUACCAAGUAACUCAAUUAUCUCCAGGACAAAGCCAGUCGCCAUUUUAAAUAUAAAAUCAUAAAAGACAUAAAAAUACAUAACUUUAAAAUAACCGAACAUUUCCCAUUCGUAUCACAUAUCCCCAGAUAGCCUGGAUCUGAGUGCAUAUUAUUAGCGAAUAGCGCUCAGAUCCCACACACAUAGUUCAAUCGCUAUGGAGUCUGUAUACGAAUGAUUCCAUGGGAAUGCUAUCUGGGUUAAGUCCUUUCGUAUGCGUCAAACCUCCCGAAUGGCCGGUAUUCGUAUGCUUUCGUGGAGGCAGCCAGGCGUUCCGUUGUUUCAGCGGUGUUCGGCAGAAAAAGUGUCCGUUUUUAGUUCCAUAGAAAUAGAGCCAAACACCGCUGGGCUUUCGCUUGGUUUAAAAUGGCCGCUGCCUCGUGGUCGACAUACGAACGACGAACACCCUGAAUUUGUUUAAUUGAGAAGUGUCUGCGGUUAACCACAACGUUUUAAUUGGGAUCAAUAGGUUAACCAGCAGCACACUUCUCUCUUGGGUGGCCGUCCGUUCGGUAGGUUUGUUCGGGAAAAAAACAGUCAUUCGUAUGGCUGGGCUAUAGAAACAGCCAUUUACACGAAAGCUGCCUUCAACAUGGAUGCUGUCCAGGAGGUGGGAGGGUCUGGGAGGGAGGGUCUGCUGGAGAUUGGCCGGGAUGUGUCAGCUGACCGGAGCUCGAACUGUGGCGAGCCGUUCGCGGGAAGUUCGCGAACGGUUCGCGACAUCACUACUAGAAAGCUACGGCUCCUGGCGCCCCGAUCAUACCAUGUGCACUGGCGCUUCUGGGCCGCCUGUAGGUUCCCUCGCACCAUAUUCCCAUGCAUCAAAGCGCCCCCGUGUGGUCAACAAGCAAUUCGCAUGCUUUUAUGUGAAAAUUACAGAGGGGGUAAAUUUAAGAAGGGAAAACAUACAUUCCAGGAGAGUACAUCCACACAUAGGAAAAGGCAAUUCACAGUCAUGUGGCGGUCCUGCAACAACAGUCUUAAAUUAGAGAGGCAAAGGUUUAAAAAUAAUAUCAGGAAGUAUUACUUUACUGAGAGGGUAGUGGAUGCAUGGAAUAGCCUUCCAGCUGAAAUGGUAGAGGUUAACACAGUAAAGGAGUUUAAGCAUGCGUGGGAUAGGCAUAAGGCUAUCCUAACUAUAAGAUAAGGCCAGGGACUAAUGACAGUAUUUAGAAAAUUGGGCAGACUAGAUGGGCCGAAUGGUUCUUAUCUGCCGUCACAUUCUAUGUUUCUAUGUUUCUAUAACUUCCCCCUUCAUUGUCAUUUUAGCUAUUUCCUCAACUAGUAGAUUAUCUAACUCUUCUAUUUGUCCUGCGGGCCUAUAAAUCACACCUACACUAGUUACUGUGUUUCUAUGUGACUAGCUAUGUAUUUAUGUGUAUGUGAUGAAACAUUCACUAGGGAACCCUGACAUGCAGACAGGACAGAGUAGAGAGAAUUGCAAUACCGAUCCUUAGCAUGGUUGGGUAAUGCAAAAAGGGGUAGUCAAAACACAAGCCGAGAUCAAGCAAAAGAGAGAGACAGAAUAAUGAGAGACAAAGCCAAAUAUCAGUAACCAGGAAAUUCAAAUAACAAGUGGUAAACCAAAGACCACAACAGGGCACUGAGGCAAGGGAGGGGUUAGCUUAUAUACACACAGGGUGUGUCUGAUUGGCUAAUCUCCAAUUAGUGUUAACCACAACCCAUGGGAGGAGUUUCUUCCCUCCCUUGUGGUCUUACUGUGCGCCAGGUUACAUGACCGGGUUCAGCACACAAACAAGGAAGAUGCUCUUGAGCGUGCAGCAUCAGACACACUGCCAGACAGGGGCCAGAUGACGCCGCUUGCAGUGAUGAGGUAAGCAAGGUCGCUGCGAGCGACGCGGGGGCAGGGGACCUAAUAUGUGACUAGCUGUGUGUAUCUGCGUAUGUAAAUAGCUGUGUGUAUCUGUGUAUGUAACUAGCUGUGUGUUUCUGUGUGUGUGACUAGAUGUUUGUAUCUGCUUAUGUUACUACCUGUGUGUAUCUGCAUAUGUAACUAGCUGUGUGUAUCUGUGUAUGUAACUAGCUGUGUGUAUCUGUGUAUGUGACUAGCUGUGUGUAUCUGCUUAUGUAACUACCUGUGUGUAUCUGCGUAUGUAACUAGCUGUGUGUAUCUGUGUAUGUAACUAGCUGUGUGUAUCUGUGUAUGUGACUAGCUGUAUGUAUCUGCGUAUGUAACUACCUGUGUGUAUCUGUGUAUGUGACUAGCUGUGUGUAUCUGUGUUUGUGACUAGCUGUCUGUUUCUGUUACUAACUGUGUGUAUAAGCAUAUUUGACUAGCUGUGUGCAUCUGUGUAUGUUACUAACUGUGUGUAUAAGCAUAUUUGACUAGCUGUGUGUAUCUGUGUAUAUGACUAGCUCUCUGUUUCUGUGUUGGAUCGGGAGCAGUUCUGCCUCCAACUAUUGUGGUUUUGUUCGUGUUUGUGCUGUUUUAUUAUUUACUGAAAACAAUACAAUAAAAUUGCAAAGCUUAGAGCAAAUGAUAGGUCAUUCACUCUCUGAGUUCACUGAGACUGGCUGUCAGGGCUUUGUAGAGCCGGUACUGACUCCACCGGUUAGUGAUACACCCGGACAUGUCUGAAUGUCUAACUUACUUAUUAUUUUGUAUAAUACUUAUUGUGAGAUGUGUAACACAGUAUUUGUGUGAAACACUACCUGCUAGUUUUUGUGGUGUGUGGAAAGGACUUUCAAUAUCUUUGUAGCUCCUGUUUCCAUAGUCUUUAAUUGUCUGUCCUAUUUGUUUUUAUUACUCUAUUACAUUGUGCGCUUGGCUAUCUUGGCAGCUCAUGUACAGGUGCAGGGGUCCCUCAUAGGACAUAAUACAUUGGUUUUCCGUCAUUUUUACGCGGUAUCAGAAUGACUCGCCUAAGUAUUUUCAUUUGUGGGAUGUAGAACUGGUCCUUCACUUAUUCGAGCUUGGUCAGAUGCCACAAAUCUAUUUCUCAGUCUACUGUUGGCUACGCUUAUCCUUUUAUCAUAUCUGUUUUCAUUUAGAUGAGUGUCUAAAUGUUUGUGUGUUCCAUGUUGUCAGGGUCUUACCUGAGUUGGGAGUCUGUAGCGCAGAUAUGAUGCUCACCCUUGCAGAUAGCCACAGGCCGAGGUGGUCAGGUAAGAAUUCACCUGGCCUGUGGGUCUGUGCACGGGGGCUGUGCAGGAUGCAGUACCAAUACGCAGGACAGGCAAGGACUGAACCAGAAGGAUGGUCGAGGGAUAGCCGAGGUCAAAGGAUGCCAGAGGACAGGAACAACGAGGAGUAGCCGAAGUCAAGGGAUGCCAGAAGUCAGAAUAAACGAGUCAGGAAGCCGGGGUCAAUAAUGCGAAGCGAUGAAACAGGAACACUGGAACAAACAGGAUCAAAGACUUGACCCUGAGCACAGGGCGAGGCUGGGUUUAUAUACCCUGCUGAUGACUGAUCAGAGUCAGGUGAAACACAGCCAAGUCAAGGUGCAGCCCCCAGAGUAGUAGCCAUGUCAGGAUGAACAGGACUGGAAUCAGUCUUCACUGUAAAUAGCUGCUGUGGCUCAGAGGUAGAAAGCAGGACCAGGACUGAGAAGAUCCCCGGUUCAAGUCCCCUGUUGGGAACUCCAAGAGCGACCACGUCUUGCCGUCUGUCUAUCAGGUGAGAACCGUGACAGUACCCCCCCCUUUAAAAACGACCUCCGGGCGUGAAUGGGUUCAUUGUCAGCAUAGUACACCUCUCCAGGGUCACUAUCUGAAUCCAGUGAGUCCCCAUAGUCAAACUCCCCAGCAAGGAUUCCCUUUACAGCUUGGGAGUCCGCAGUACCAGCUUCUGGUACGGCUGGAGAAUUGUCCAGGUCUUUUAGGUUCCGGGUACAGGUGGCAAGCACUUCCAAAACUUUGGCAGGAGCAGUGUUCGCAGCUAACAAUGCUUUUUCGAACAUUCAAGGUCUUCUUUACGGACUAUAGUGCCAUUAGAAGCAACGGCACAAUCCACAGGUAAAACCUCUUCGGGCGGGCAGGAAGUAGUGGUGGUAUCACAGGAAGCAACUUCGGGAGUAGAUGCAGGAGGCUCUGGAGCAGGGGAUGGAGGUUUUCUCGCGGAAGCCAAGCAUGUGCAAGCACAACGGCUUCUAUUUGGCUUUUUAGGCUGGUAUGCGGUGUACACAGGGCGAAGGAAACUAGUACCAAGUCGGAGAGCUGGAGGUCUAGGAGGGCGAACAGGACAAAGCGUGAUGAAGUGCCCUUUUUCUCCACAGUAAUAACAUAGGCCAUAGCUUCUCCUUCGGUCUUUUUCCUUAGGUGUCACUUUGCAGUGGACGAGUCCUAAUUGCAUAGGUUCCACAGGGUCAAGUGGAACACCGGAUACCUCUGGAGUUUUCCUGGGAGCUGGAACAUAAGGAGGCAUUUCUGGGGCGUAGUGGUGGUACUCGGUUUCUUGGUUAGGAAGAGUCUGAGAUUUUUUAGUACGUGGAGCUGACUUGGCCACAGUGGUCUUACAUUGUGAGUCCAUAGCAGUACUAAAGGAUUCCCAGCUGACCAGGACAGGACUCUUCGUCUGCAACAUUUGGUGAGCCCAAACUUUGAUGCGUCCAGACAACAGGUUGAUAGCCGCUCUGACCCUGAUGAAUUCUGUGGCAUAUGUUCGAGGCUUUAAGGAAAACAACACCUCACAAUCCAUCUUGAAAGACUGAAAGGAUGUGCGGCUACCAUCAAAUCGGUCGGGCAUGAUGACAAACGGUUCAGGAAAAGCUGGUUCCGGGGCUGGAUGUACUGCGCCUUUAAGGAAUAAAAUUUCUUGCUGCAGCUCCGAAACAGUCUGGGCCAGGCUGGACACACGCUGGGUCGAGGGUGAGCACAUCUCUGCGGACUCCAUAAUGGUCAAGUCCUUAUGUCAGGGUCUUACCUGAGUUGGGAGUCUGUAGCGCAGAUAUGAUGCUCACCCUUGCAGAUAGCCACAGGCCGAGGUGGUCAGGUAAGAAUUCACCUGGCCUGUGGGUCUGUGCACGGGGGCUGUGCAGGAUGCAGUACCAAUACGCAGGACAGGCAAGGACUGAACCAGAAGGAUGGUUGAGGGAUAGCCGAGGUCAAAGGAUGCCAGAGGACAGGAACAACGAGGAGUAGCCGAAGUCAAGGGAUGCCAGAAGUCAGAAUAAACGAGUCAGGAAGCCGGGGUCAAUAAUGCGAAGCGAUGAAACAGGAACACUAGAACAAACAGGAUCAAAGACUUGACACUGAGCACAGGGCGAGGCUGGGUUUAUAUACCCUGCUGAUGACUGAUCAGAGUCAGGUGAAACACAGCCAAGUCAAGGUGCAGCCCCCAGAGUAGUAGCCAUGUCAGGAUGAACAGGAUUGGAAUCAGUCUUCACUGUAAAUAGCUGCUGUGGCUCAGAGGUAGAAAGCAGGACCAGGACUGAGAAGAUCCCCGGUUCAAGUCCCCUGUUGGGAACUCCAAGAGCGACCACGUCUUGCCGUCUGUCUAUCAGGUGAGAACCGUGACACAUGUUGACCCUUAUUCCUUUUUCCCUUGAAGGAUUACUUUAGUGGUUUCUCGACAUACUAAAUCUAAUUUCUCUUCGUUUUUAUCCCUAUUUUCACGUUGUUCUGAAACUUUGGGUAGUUUUGAGCUAUCACAUUAUGAAGAGGCUACGUCUACUCUACACGCCUCUUAUUCUGGUCAACCACUCAUUUCAUGUGUGUCCCCACACAGACCUGUCUCUACUACUACCCUGGCUCUGUGGGUUCAUUUGUGUUAUCUGUGGCAGGAAUUUCUCUCUCCAUCUAAUGUAGGUUUGUAAUGCAUAUCUAGCUUCCCUUUGUGAUAUUGUGCGAUCGGCUAAAUGGUCUUGAGAGGACACAUUUAGAUGGUUUUACUUUCAUCUUCCUACUCAUGCUUCUUUUGCGCUAGUAUUUGAGAGCUGAAAGAAAAUAUAUGUAGCAUCUUGCCACGUGGUAAUAUUGAAAAUUAUGUUAACUUUAUUGUACUGAUAAUCUUAAUUUGAGUAAUGACAAGAGGCGAAAAUUUUCCCUUCCAUUUUUUUCCCUUCCCGAUGCGUGCUUGUAUUUGUUGGAGAUUUUUACUGGUUCAUGAGUCUUGUUUUUCCUGUAUUUAUGUGUUUAUAUUGCACUGUGAUAGAUUUGGUUAUUGCUGUUUUGAUAGUUCAUGAUAUGUUUUUAAUUCAAGUUCAUGUGGUUUAUAUAUUUAUUCCCCUUGAUGGAUCAUUAACUAACCUUUAUUUUUUGCAAUGUUCUUUCUGUCAUUUCAGUUUGAUCUUCAGAUUCUAGUCCUCUGCUGGACAUAUGUUAUCUUCAUUCUCAAACCGAUAGAAACCUACAAGUUCUACAUCACGGUUUUGUUGUUUUACUAACUACUUUGUUUUGUUUCUCUGUACUGUUUGUGUUUUCCACAGCUCGAAAGAUAAAGUGCUU